rnacentral:tRNA from 1 species
GGAGGUGGUUGGGGACCGGUGUCUCCCCCGGCCUUCAAAGCCGCGCGAGUCGCGAUCGAUCGGGACUGGUGGGUUCGACUCCCACGCACCUCCGCCA